rnacentral:rRNA from 1 species
GACGAACGCUGGCGGCGUGCUUAACACAUGCAAGUCGAACGGAAAGGCCCUGCUUUUGUGGGGUGCCCGAGUGGCGAACGGGUGAGUAACACGUGAGUAACCUGCCCUUGACUUUGGGAUAACCUCAGGAAACUGGGGCUAAUACCGGAUAGGAGCUCCUGCUGCAUGGUGGGGGUUGGAAAGUUUCGGCGGUUGGGGAUGGACUCGCGGCUUAUCAGUUUGUUGGUGGGGUAGUGGCUUACCAAGGCUUUGACGGGUAGCCGGCCUGAGAGGGUGACCGGCGACAAUAGUACUGAGAUAGGGCGCAGACUCCUACGGGAGGCAACAGUGGGGAGUAUUGCACAAUGGGCGGAAGCCUGAUGCAGAGACGCCGCGUGCGGAAUGACGGCCUUCGGGUUGUAAACCGCAUUCGCCUGUGACGAAGCGUGAGUGACGGUAAUGGGUAAAGAAGCACCGGCUAACUACGUG